UACGUAGGGUGCGAGCGUUGUCCGGAAUUAUUGGGCGUAAAGGGCUCGUAGGCGGUUUUGUCGCGUCGGGAGUGAAAUCCACUGGCUUAACUGGUGGCUUGCUUUCGAUACGGGCAGACUGGAGGUAUGCAGGGGGAGAACGGAAUUCCUGGUGUAGCGGUGAAAUGCGCAGAUAUCAGGAGGAACACCGAUGGCGAAGGCAGGUCUCUGGGCCACUACUGACGCUGAGAAGCGAAAGCAUGGGGAGCGAACAGG
rnacentral:rRNA from 1 species